AGUGAACGCUGGCGGUAGGCCUAACACAUGCAAGUCGAACGGCAGCACAGUAAGAGCUUGCUCUUACGGGUGGCGAGUGGCGGACGGGUGAGGCAUACAUCGGAAUCUACUUUUUCGUGGGGGAUAACGUAGGGAAACUUACGCUAAUACCGCAUACGUCCUACGGGUGAAAGCAGUGGAUCUUCGGACCUUGCGCGAUUGAAUGAGCCGAUGUCGGAUUAGCUAGUUGGCGGGGUAAAGGCCCACCAAGGCGACGAUCCGUAGCUGAUCUGAGAGGAUGAUCAGCCACACUGGAACUGAGACACGGUCCAGACUCCUACGGGAGGCAGCAGUGGGGAAUAUUGGACAAUGGGCGCAAGCCUGAUCCAGCAAUACCGCGUGAGUGAAGAAGGCCUUCGGGUUGUAAAGCCCUUUUGUUGGGAAAGAAAAGCAGCAGGUUAAUCCCCCGCUGUUCUGACGGUACCCAAAGAAUAAGCACCGGCUAACUUCGUG
rnacentral:rRNA from 1 species